rnacentral:lncRNA from 1 species
AAUGACAUAGAUAAUAUGAAAGAAAAGAGAAAACAUUGGCAAGCUGGAGCCCCUCAGACGCUACUGAAUUUUGUAGCUGAUGCUGAUGUCACACCUGUAUGUCCUACUGUGGCUGAAAAUGAACUUGAAGGGAGAUUAACUAUGUUGCCUCCAAAAGAAAACAAUGCAGAUGAUUCAGAAACAUACUCUGCUGUUGCUGUUACUGAAGGCAGACUUGAGCCAAGAUCAGAUGAUGAAGACACAAAUUUUGAAGAUUCUGAAGAUGAACUCAGACAUGAGCUGGAGGGAUGUCUGGAGAAAGUGGCAACUUCUCCAGCAGAGAGAACCAUGGAGUCUCCCAUCCUUUCAAUAAAUAAAGGACAAAGAGAGGAGGAAGAGAGUUUACCUCACAAACUACUUGGAAAAUCUGAUGAUGAUUUAGAAAAUAACUGUGGGUCAUUUAGUGCUGACACACAUAAUGAAAAAGGCAAGCAGGAAGCAAGAGCUACCUAAAACAUCAGCACAAUUACUGUUUCAAAGCUUUAACUUGCUUGAAAUUUCAGCCACAUCAGUAACAAAAUUUAAGGCUAGCUAACAUUAAAUGCCAAGUAAAUCAAAUGCUUUUCAACAGUGCUAAAUGCUCAAUUAAAAAUAACAGAAGGUUGUUAUGAUUUUGUUUAAAAGGAAGGAAAAACAGGCUACUUUUCAGAAGUCUAAAUGUUGAAAAAUCCUCAUCCAGACUGAAAUGCACUUUUUAUUAUUCUAAACUACCUGGGCAAUCUCUGACAACACUUGCUUGAGAAAUUUGUGGUUCUAUACUCUCUUUAACCAUUUUUGUAUCAUGUAAGAAAGUCUUCUCAUCAGUAUAUUGUAUCUCCCUAGAUCAGUCAGCUCCUGGUUUAAGCAGCUCUUCCAGCUUUUCAUCUCUCCGUACUGCCAAUACAGCUUUAGAACCCAGUUGCAUUUACACAGUACUGACCCUACACAGUGUCACCAGCUGCUCAGCAGUUCAAUGUCGUAGCUGCAAAAGGGUUUAUUAGCACCAUGAGAAUUGUGUGUUCCCCAAUUCCUAAUAAAACAUGGGACAGUAGGUUCUUCCAACUGUAUUUCUUCAUAUACAAAAAUUUCAUAUAAGCCAGGUGAAGCUUAGAUAGAGGGAAAACCACAUUCUGAAGUCUGAUUUCAGUAGCUUUUUGCCCUUCUCUUAGUUCACUAAAAUAUAAAAUACUGC